rnacentral:tRNA from 1 species
GCCACCAUAGCUCAGUUGGUAGAGCAACUGAUUUGUAAUCAGUGGGUCGCGGGUUCGACUCCUGCUGGUGGCU